GCCUCGGUAGCUCAAUGGCAGAGCGCCUGUCUCAUGAGCAGGAGGUCGCGGGUUCAACUCCCGCCCGAGGCA
rnacentral:tRNA from 1 species